CCAGAUCAUUGAGUGAUCGCUCCGAUUUUUUUCGGGGAGGAAAGUCCGGGCAGCAUAGAGCAAAGCAGCCGUUAACGGCGGCCGGGGGUGACCCUAGGGAAAGUGCCACAGAAACGAAACCGCCUCGUUUUUCGGGGUAAGGGUGAAACGAGUGAGGUAAGAGCUCACAGUCGACCGUGGUGACACGGAAGAGAGGUAAACCCUGCUUGCUGCAAGGAGGUGUGACUACGUUAAGGCUGCUCGCUGUAGUUGCAUCAUAAGAACCGCUUGAGUUUGGUGGCAACAUCAAAUCUAGAUAGAUGAUCGCUCGCGACAGAACCCGGCUUACAGAUGAUCUGGAUCU
rnacentral:RNase_P_RNA from 1 species